rnacentral:rRNA from 1 species
UACGUAGGGUGCGAGCGUUGUCCGGAAUUAUUGGGCGUAAAGAGCUCGUAGGUGGUUUGUCGCGUUGUUCGUGAAAACUCACAGCUUAACUGUGGGCGUGCGGGCGAUACGGGCAGACUUGAGUACUGCAGGGGAGACUGGAAUUCCUGGUGUAGCGGUGAAAUGCGCAGAUAGUCGGGAGGAACACCGGUGGCGAAGGCGGUUCUCUGGGCCUUACCUGGACGCUGAGGUGCGAAAGCGUGGGGAGCAAACAGG